ensembl:lncRNA
GUUUUAGUUCCCCUCCAAUGGAAGCAAUCAUAUCCAUAUCCCUGCCUUGAGUGUGGACGGCCUGUCUACUCCUGUAGUGCUGUCGCCAGGCCCACAGAAACCAUGAGGAGAGUCCUGGAGUCCUUCCACAGUCCUGUGGACAUUGAUUCCCCAGUUCAGCCUAUGGGACAGAAGAUGGCACAUGACCCACUGGGCACAGACGUCAGUUCAAUGUCUAGUUUCGAUUUACAUUUGGUUGAGUUGUCAACUAAUGUGAAUUCAACAACAACAAAAAAUCACCAUGUCAUUGGAUGUUGGUUCAAAUAAAAAAUUAAAUGCCCUUUGACCUUUUGCAAAUCCAAUCAGUUUUUCACGUUGUUUCGACGUCCUCACAAUGACGUGGAAACAAUGUUGAUUCAACCAGUUUUUGCCCAGUGAGGAGGAGGUUGUUCAUCAUGUGCUUGUCUUUAACAUACUGGCCCUCUUUGUCCCAGUUCCAUAGUCUACACAUUUUAGCAUGUUGCUGUCUCAACUCUCCUGAAAACUGUUCAGAAAUCAGUUAUUAAUGCGAAGCAAGUUUAGCUGAACUAAUAAACUAUGAUAUCCAUCAAAUGUGAAAUGGAUAUAAACGCACCAGGCCAUUCUGAACCCUCUUCAGACUGUUAAUAAUAUACAGCAUGUAUGAAUUUGAUCAUUCUUUUUUGACUACCAUGCAAAUGAAUUAGCCAAAGCCUUAAAGUUAAGUUUUCAGACAAAUGGAGAUGAGGAACAUUUGGGUGUUAGGUAUCCAUUUAUGCAAGUGAGGGAUUUUUUGAAACGGGUGAGAUGGAUAUUGUGAAGAAAAGCCAUUUAUUGGAACAUAUUUUCACCUACCAGAAGUGGGGAAAAUUAUGAGCAUCUUGAGUUGCUUAGAAGUUCGAUAAACUUCAGUAUUUAAGUUCACCACUUCUUUCACCAGCAAAAGAUGUAUUGAUUGUCUUUUUUCAGAGGAGGGAUAUUUUACUCUGCUCAUGAGCGCUAUAGUCUGAAUGCCACACAGACAGACCCACAUUGUCUAUCAUCUCAUUGUAACUUAAAUGCUACAUACAGUACAUUUGUGUUUUUCGGUUGUAUGAAAAAUGCAGUUGUGUUUCCAAACGUUCUGUGGCUCUCAACUCUGACCAGAGAUUUGAGCUGCUUUUUGUUGUCUCUUUUUGAACGUUUCUGAAACACUAUGGGAUCUACAACCUUGACAUGUACUAUUGUGUGAUGGCUUUGUCAUUGUGUACAGUUUUUUAUUCAAGAAUGUUUAGGGAAACCUAAAAUACUGUAUAUAUGUUUGUGAAAAUUGUCGUAUCUCUUGCUGAAAUAAGUACCCAUUGUCUUUGAGGUAUUGGCUCUUGUUUGUUUCUGUCGCGUUUGGUUUCAGAUGCGUGUAGCCUUUUCCCUUCCCCAUGGGAGUGAUUGUCUCUGGGGGUUUAUUUACAGAGGGGAGGGUUUGCUUUUAUUUUUUUGGAAAUAUCCAAAUAUAUUAUAUUUACUGGAAGAGAGAGAGACAAACUAUUUUUUAUCUACACACUUCAAUUUGUUUGUGUAAAUGUUAUAGAUAUUAUUCUUGUUUUCUAAAAACAGAUCUAGAACUAAUAUUAGGAGUUAAUAAAAUCCUAUUUUGUUCUGUACAAGGUUUUGUUCUUCCUUUCUUUGAAAUCACGUUGAUGCUGUUUGUUUCUCUGAAGUGUAUUGCAGUUUGAAGUACACCUCAAAAGGUUUAUCUUAAAUGAUGCACAAGGCUGAAAGGUGUGUGGAGUGACAGUCAAACUAGUAUGCCAUCACUGGAACUACACUCAGCCAAACAGCAUAUGAUCAUUUCCAGCACCAUGCACGUUUCUUCUUUCUGAAAUGACAGAAACCAAUAAUGCCCCAGUUGGGAGAUAUUCUUGACACCAAAACUUUACAACAAAUGAAUAAACA